rnacentral:rRNA from 1 species
UUUCCUACGGGCGGCUGCAGUGGGGAAUAUUGGACAAUGGGGGCAACCCUGAUCCAGCGACGCCGCGUGUGUGAAGAAGGCCUGCGGGUUGUAAAGCACUUUUAGUGGGGAGGAAGGUCUGCGACCUAACACGUCGUGGAAUUGACUUAACCCACAGAAAAAGCACCGGCUAACUCUGUGCCAGCAGCCGCGGUAAUACAGAGGGUGCAAGCGUUAAUCGGAAUUACUGGGCGUAAAGCGUGCGUAGGCGGUUUUGUAAGUCGGAUGUGAAAGCCCCGGGCUCAACCUGGGAAUUGCAUUCGAGACUGCGAAGCUGGAGUGCGGAAGAGGGAAGUGGAAUUUCCGGUGUAGCGGUGAAAUGCGUAGAUAUCGGAAGGAACAUCAGUGGCGAAAGCGACUUCCUGGUCCAGCACUGACGCUCAGGCACGAAAGCGUGGGGAGCAAACAGGAUUAGAUACCCGUGUAGUC